GAUACCUACGGGGGGCAGCAGUGAGGAAUAUUGGUCAAUGAGCGAGAGCCUGAACCAGCCAAGUCGCGUGCAGGAUGACGGCCGUACGGGUUGUAAACUUCUUUUGUCAGGGAGCAAUUGGGUUCACGCGUGGGCUUAGCGAGAGUACCUGAAGAAAGAGCAUCGGCUAACUCAGUGCCAGCAACCGCGGUAAUACGGAGGAUGCGAGCGUUAUCCGGAUUUAUUGGGUUUAAAGGGAGCGUAGGCGGAAUAU
rnacentral:rRNA from 1 species